UCUGCCCUUGGGCCAGGAUGGAGGUGGCGGAGAGGGGAGUCAAAUGGGCUGGGGGCAGGGAGAUGGGGGAGGCCUUCUCUACUGCAGAGAAGGCAACCGGGGCCUCCUCUGUCUGAACCUUGCUGCCCACAGGAGCCUGGACAGUGGCCUCAAAUGCCACUCGGGGGCAGUGGGGCCUGCUCAUAGCUUGGGGUGCCAGAGAGGGGGUGCAGUCAGUGCUCCCCUUUAGAGGGUCCAUCCUGAACAGGGCUGGAGGGGGAGAGGUCUGGGGACAGAGGCCUGGCCGUGGAGACCUGGGAGCAGCAGGAAGAAGGGGUGUGGCCACGGGGAGAUCGUGACUGCACAGAGAUGCACAGGAGGAUCCGGAGUCCGGGCCGUGGAGUACCAGAACUCCCACGUGGACAGCUGAGAGCAGCACCAAGGACUGAGGCUAUGUGGGGUCUGGGGGGACAGUGAGGGGCACCCCUGAAGUCUGCUGGGGAAGGGGACACAGGUUCAAGCCCUGGUCCGGGAAGAUCCCACAUGCUGCGGAGCAACUAAGCCCGUGUGCCACAACUACCGAGCCUGCGCUCUAGAGCCCGCAAGUCACAACUACAGAAGCCUGCCUGCCUAGAGCCUGUGCUCCGCAACAAGAGAAGCCACCACAAUUAGAAGCUGCACACCAACACAAAGAGUAGCCCCCGCUCGCCACAACUAGAGAAAGCCUGCCCGCAGCAAUGAAGACCCAACGCAGCCAAAAAUAAAUAAAUUAAAUAAAUAAAUUUUUAAAAAUAAAUUGUAGCUGAAAAAAGAAAA